rnacentral:lncRNA from 1 species
AAGCUUUAUUCUUGCUUCUUUGAAUGUAAAUUUUGUUAGAAAAUUUGCCAUCUCAAAUGUUGUAGAUGUAGUUGAUAUGAGCAUGAAUUUUGGAGCUAAAAUUUGGUGCCAUGUUUUUGGGGAAAUUCGGCCAAAUCCAAAGGGUGGAUUUUUGGGUUCAUGUUUGUCUUGUUAACAAUGUUUUAAAGUGACAUUAGGAACCCCUAAGUACCCUAGUAUGGUAAUAUCUUAUUUCCCUUAAGUUUGAGAGUUUUUGGGGUGUCUUUGGGUGAAAAAUGUUCAUGGAGUUCUUAUGGGUUUUCAUGGAUGUUCUUCAUUGUUCUUGUUAUGUUUUUGGCAAGAACAAAAAGGUUGGGUAUUUUGAUUCAAAAGUUUUGGUUGUUGAAUAAAGUUUUUUGUUUGUGAUGGAUGAUUUGAAUUUUCAAUAAAUACGCAUACCAAUCACUUACACCUUUUGCUUGUUUCAAGGAACCAUGUUUUAUGGAAACGUACUUUUUCAAACCAACCCAUCACCUUUUCAACCCAUCACCUUUCACUUUGUUGAAAAAAUUCAAAAGUUUUUAUGACACCAUCACUCUCACCAACCGGCCACCCUAUUAAAAUAGGGUACUUUUGGGGCUUUUAUGCAAUUACAAAAAGUUUUGAUACUUUUGUGUAUUUGUACUUUGACCCGAAAGUUUACGUUUUUACGUAAAGGCCCAAAAUCACUAAAGGAUAAAUUGUUUUGCUCCUUUAAUGAAGUUUUUGUAUUUGAUGAAAUUUUUGGGUUCUAGUUGUAAUUACAUGAAGCAGUGGACUUUUGUGUUCUUACAAAGUGACCUCAAAAGUUUGUGCUUUGCAACAUAGCCCAAAAAGUUGAGGUUAUUGCAUUUGGCCCAAAUUAGUUGAGAACAAAAUAAUUUUGUAUCUUUAAAUGAGAAUUGGAUUUUCAGUUCAUUUAGCUCCAUUUAAAUCAAUUCUAUGGAAACAAAAACCAAAUGAAAAUGUUGCAUUCAAGUUUAAUUAGUUAAAGCGUUAAUAAUUAAAGAAAGGGUGAUUAUGAACCUAAGCCUACGAUAAUUGAGCUAUGUGAAAAACCGUCUCAAAUUUGUUUCAACCAUGGGAAUGUGUAGAUUAGAUUUUGGUUGUAAUUUGAUAUGAUCAAAUAUUGUAAAAGAGCAUAAGCUCUUCUUUACUUUAAAGUAAUUUGUUUUGAUCAAAUGUUGUAAAAGAGCAUAAGCUCUUCUAUACUUUGAAGUACUCCUUUCUUGUUUUAUUUGAUAUGCAUGAAAUUGGAGUAGUUGGGUCCAACGCCCAAUAGGAAAAAGACGCCUUAAUAUGAUUAAACGUGUAACUAAAAUCAAUCACCAUCCCUAGACCGAGAUUCAACACUAGGCUCACGUUGGAUCGAAUCAAAGGUUCAUAGUCAUCCUAAGGCCCUAAGGCAACUAUAUAGUCCAUCAAUGAAUGCAAACCUUAUGUUAGUAGUACCAUAUACUCUUGCUUUAAAAACCGUUUUACAAGCAUAGUGGGAGUAUUAUAUACAACUAAAUCAAUCACAUGGACCAAUAGUUGUAAUAGGACCAAAUUGUUUUAAUAAGAUUAAAAUGCAUGCUUAUAUGUGAUGAGACCUAAAACCCUAAACCAAACCAUUAUUAAGUUGAUAAGCGUGAGAGUGCUUUGAACACUCUUUCGUGGUCUUCCACCGUGGUAGGCUCCGAUCGUUUGUGACUCGUACACCGACUUCACCCUAUCAUGGGGGAGUACAAAGUGCGUGCUUACACUCAGGAGGAGUUCUAUAUGCAUACAUGAUGUUGUGAAGGUAUGCAACGAGAAUGAUCAACAUCAUAUCAUUGUGAGGUUGUUCUUGAACCCUUACUCGAACUUGCAUGGUGGGAAUGACUUAACUAAGUGCAAUGGAGCCAACAUCAUAUCAUUGUGAGGCUUCAUUCUCUAGAGGCCAAAUAAGAUGGGUACUUGCAAGAGAUGCAAAUGAGUAAGCGUACUCUCUCAUUAUUAUUGAUGCUAGCCAACACCAUAUCAUUGUGAGGUGGGCUUGGUAAUGAUGAGUCUCUCAUACCCUACUAAGAGUUUCCUCCAAAACUCUCGAAUUCCGAUGAGGGAUAUGGAAUUUGCCAAAAAUAGUGGGUGGUGCUAUUUGAUUUAAAGACCCAGAUCAAAUGGCUUAAAAUCAAUCAAUUUAUAUUCGUUAUGUAUUUUAUUUACCAAUAUAUUUGCAAACGCUAUCCAAAACUUGCCAAAGAAAAAGCCGAAAGCUUUAGUUUCCGGACUUGGUACUACAAUCCCAUAGAUUGUCUAUAAUGGCUUGUAUAUGUACCUAAGUAGUCUCAUCCUCACAAUCUUCCUAUUGAUAACGUAUCAUUGGAAGAACAUGUUAGAUAAGUCUAUCAUAAAGAGGACAACAUUUUUCAUGUCAUAAUUCUUCAAUUACAAAUUGUUGUAUGAAGAAAUAAGAGUUUCUUUGAACAAUCCUUAGCUAGCGCAAACAUUAGUGCUUGUUUCUUUGUUACAUGAACAAGGAACUUGAGAAGUAAGCACAAGGGCAUGGACACUUUA